GUUUGAUUGCCGUGGAUCACAAGUCUCUCUUAUUCUCCCUGGACUGUGGGUCUCGGUUCUGGACAUUUUUUUUUAAUGCAGGAAGUUGUCUCAAGAAACAACCUGUUCCAAACAAAAAAAAGACAUCAGAACAAUCAAAGGGUUUGUCGACAUUAAAACGACUUUUUUCAAUGGAUUUCUGAGGUGCAUCCGUAGUUCUACAUUAUAAGUGCGGUGCAGUUAGAAACAAUGAUUGCCCAAGUGAGGAGAGCAUGGGUUGAAAGCAUCGCAAAGAAUGCGAAGAAUAACAAUGGUUUUCUUGUGUGCUCACCAACGACGCAACUGUGUAGAGAGAGAAAAUACCUUGUAUUGUAAUCAGUAUUGAAACUAUAUUUUUCGAAAUUUUUUUAAGGU